CGGGACGGGUGAGUAAUGUCUGGGAAACUGCCUGAUGGAGGGGGGUAACUACUGGAAACGGUAGCUAAUACCGCAUAACGUCGCAAGACCAAAGAGGGGGACCUUCGGGCCUCUUGCCAUCGGAUGUGCCCAGAUGGGAUUAGCUAGUAGGUGGGGUAACGGCUCACCCAGGCGACGAUCCCUAGCUGGUCUGAGAGGAUGACCAGCCACACUGGAACUGAGACACGGUCCAG
rnacentral:rRNA from 1 species